AGUGAACGCUGGCGGUAGGCCUAACACAUGCAAGUCGAACGGCAGCACAGUAAGAGCUUGCUCUUACGGGUGGCGAGUGGCGGACGGGUGAGGAAUACAUCGGAAUCUACUUUUUCGUGGGGGAUAACGUAGGGAAACUUACGCUAAUACCGCAUACGACCUACGGGUUAAAGCAGUGGAUCUUCGGACCUUGCGCGAUUGAAUUAGCCGAUGUCGGAUUAGCUAGUUGGCGGGGUAAAGGCCCACCAAGGCAACGAUCCGUAGCUGGUCUGAGAGGGUGAUCAGCCACACUGGAACUGAGACACGGUCCAGACUCCUACGGGAGGCAGCAGUGGGGAAUAUUGGACAAUGGGCGCAAGCUUGAUCCAGCAAUACCGCGUGGGUGAAGAAGGCCUUCGGGUUGUAAAGCCCUUUUGUUGGGAAAGAAAAGCAGCAGGUUAAUACCCCGCUGUUCUGACGGUACCCAAAGAAUAAGCACCGGCUAACUUCGUG
rnacentral:rRNA from 1 species